rnacentral:rRNA from 1 species
CGCGGGGCACCUGGCGACGAGUGGCGAACGGGUGAGUAAUAUAUCGGAACGUGCCCAGUAGUGGGGGAUAGCCCGGCGAAAGCCGGAUUAAUACCGCAUACGACCUAAGGGUGAAAGCGGGGGAUCGCAAGACCUCGCGCUAUUGGAGCGGCCGAUAUCAGAUUAGCUAGUUGGUGGGGUAAAAGCCUACCAAGGCGACGAUCUGUAGCUGGUCUGAGAGGACGACCAGCCACACUGGGACUGAGACACGGCCCAGACUCCUACGGGAGGCAGCAGUGGGGAAUUUUGGACAAUGGACGCAAGUCUGAUCCAGCCAUGCCGCGUGCGGGAAGAAGGCCUUCGGGUUGUAAACCGCUUUUGUCAGGGAAGAAAUCCUUUGAGAUAAUACCUCGGGGGGAUGACGGUACCUGAAGAAUAAGCACCGGCUAACUACGUGCCAGCAGCCGCGGUAAUACGUAGGGUGCGAGCGUUAAUCGGAAUUACUGGGCGUAAAGCGUGCGCAGGCGGUUAUGCAAGACAGAUGUGAAAUCCCCGGGCUCAACCUGGGAACUGCAUUUGUGACUGCAUAGCUGGAGUGCGGCAGAGGGGGAUGGAAUUCCGCGUGUAGCAGUGAAAUGCGUAGAUAUGCGGAGGAACACCGAUGGCGAANGGCAAUCCCCUGGGCCUGCACUGACGCUCAUGCACGAAAGCGUGGGGAGCAACAGGAUUAGAUACCCUGGGUAGUCCACGCCCUAAACGAUGUCAACUGGNUGUUGGGAGGGUUUCUUCUCAGUACGAANCUAACGCGUGAAGUUGACCGCCUGGGA